GACAGAGGGGCAAGCGUUGCUCGGAAUUACUGGGCGUAAAGGGCGCGUAGGCGGGAUGGCAAGUCGGUCGUGAAAUCCCUCGGCUCAACCGAGGAACGUCGAUCGAUACUGCUGUUCUUGAGGAUUGCAGAGGAGACUGGAAUUCCCGGUGUAGCGGUGAAAUGCGUAGAGAUCAGGAGGAACACCGGUGGCGAAGGCGGUUCUCUGGGCAUUACCUGACGCUGGAGGAGCGAAAGUGUGGGGAGCGAACAGG
rnacentral:rRNA from 1 species